GGCAGUGAAAGCAAUCUUUGUAUUUCUCUCUCUCUUCUUCCAUCCUUUCUCCUUCUCUCCUCUCCCUCCUUCCCUUCCCCCUUUCUCCUCUCCCUCCCUCACUCCUCUUUCUCCUCUCCCUCGUCUCUCUCUCUCUCUCGCUCUCCCUCCCUCCCUCGCUCUCCCUCCCUCCUCUCUAUCUCCCUCCCUCCUCUCUCUCUCUCUCUAUCUCCCUACCUCCCCUCUCUCCCUCCCUCUCCUCUCUCUCCCUCCCUCCUCUCUCUUUCUCCUCUCUUCCUCCCUCCCUCCUCUCUCUCUCUCUGCCUCCCUCCUUCCUUCCCUCCCUCCCUCCCUCUCCCCCUUUGCUACCAAGGCAGCCCAAAAUAAUGAACUGAUUCCUGUUCAAAAGAGGCUUCAGCCGGACACAGGCAAAACUGCUCUGAGGAUCCUUCCAUAACCUCAGCUGCCUUUCGCCUCCAACCGGUUUGCACUGACACCUUCCGCAGGACAAAAGGGCACAGACAAAGCAGCUGGUUCGCGGAAAGGGGUGGGAAGCUGGGAAAGCGCAGGCAGGCAGCGGCUACGGAUCAAAGGGGAGAUUGUGCUGGACUAAAAGCCCAGACAUUCUAGGUUGGAUGGAUCUCUCCUGGAGGAGUUUCCACGAGUUUCUCAUGAGGUUUCGCAGACAAGAUUGGAGAGCCCAGCCCUCCUCUCGCGGAUGAAUAUCAGUUGGUUUUCCUGCAGCCUGUAGAAGGUUGGAUUAGGAAUCCCUUCCAGUGGUCUGACUACUUCUCUUGAUUGCUGAUGCACGAGCUAAGAGUGCUUUUACUGUACGAGAGCUUUUCAGUAGUGGAUCUAUGGAAGCUUGCCAGGAAUACUGAAAGCAUUGAAAAUAGACGAUCCUCAGGAAGAGAUACUGUGGUUGCACCUUGCGUUACUACUGAUUCUAUGCUGGAGAAGGCGUUGGGAAAGGAUAUGCUCUGAGUCUUAGAAGAUGGGGCUGAGUUUUCCCCCAAUACUGUACAUUUAGCUAGGCUAAAAUGGAAUCAGGGAGACUAUAAUUCAUUGAGGUGUAGUAGGAUCUUGGCCAUCGCCUUUAGGAUACUGUGCAAAGCAGCUUGUCACCUCAAAGGUAAUCCAGGGUGUGUAAUUAGCAAUGAACUUGCUAGGUGGGCAAAGCCGUUUGGGUUUUCUUAAGGGUUUUAUUGCGUUUUGCAAACCUAAUCUAUGAUUCCAUGCUGUUUCAACUGUGUAAUCCCACUUUUCUGCUAACAAUAUUAAAGGCCUGUCGUUCAAGCAACACAACACAAAAACAGUAGUUGCAUGGAGUGGGGAGCAGGGGAGGGGGGCAUCUCCCCACCUUCAUCCGUUCACAUUUUUCCCUGGACCCCCAUCUGAGCAAUCAGGGCAGGACAAACAUUAGGCAAUCACCAUUUCCACCAGAACUCCCAUUAAAGGGAGGCGACUAGAUUGGGGUGAGGUGGGGACAGGUGGGUUGUAAUGGGGAGAUCGGAGUUAGUAUGUCAUUUGAAACAGCUUCUAGCCCGUGUCAUCUUAAUUGUAAUUUAUAUUUGAGUUGUUAUAUAUAUAUAUAUAUUUGUUUUCUGAGGUUUUCGCGGGUGUUUGUAUGUAGAUCUUUGGUUAUUCGGGUUUUCUCCCGCGUAAAAUUGGAAGUGUCUUGGCGACGUUUCGACGAAGUCUCAUUCGUCAUCUUCAGGCUUCAGCUUCGUGCUUCUGGGAGCAAUAUACGUAUGUAUGUGUAUGUAUGUAUGUAUAUGUAUGUAUAUGUAUGUAUAUGUAUAUGUAUAUGUAUAUGUAUAUGUAUAUGUAUAUGUAUAUGUAUAUGUAUAUGUAUAUGUAUAUGUAUAUGUAUAUGUAUAUGUAAGGGAAAAGAAUGAAGAGCAAAGCAAGCUGUUCAUUUGCAGCCUGUCUCUGGGGUUUAAUAAAGCUCUAUUCACUGCUGUAGUAUCAUUUUUAUGCUAUCAUAAAGCUCGUCCGUUUAGCAGGUUUGUGUUACUUCAGCAGUUAGCACCGCCUGAAAAGCGGUUCUGGGAAAGGCGAAGAAGGAUGGAAGGAAGGAAGG